AUCACUCUGUUGCCCAGGCUGGAGUGCAGUGGCACGAUUGCAACUCACUGCAACCUCCAACCCCUGGCUUCAAGCAAUCCUCCCACCUCAGCCUCCCAAAGCUCUGGAAUUACAGGUGUGAGCCACUGUGCCCGGCCUAUAUGUAUUGUUUUUUGUUUGCUUGUUUGUUUGGGACGUGGUCUCGCUCUGUUACCCAGGCUGGAAUGCAGUGGUGCGAUCUUGGCUCACUGCAGCCUUGACCUCCCAGGCUCAAGCGAUCCUCCUACCUCAGCCUCACCAAACAGCUGGGAUUACAGGCUCACACCACCAUGCCUGGCUAAUUUUUUGUUGUUGUUGUUGUAGAGGUGGGAUUUCGCCAGGUUGCCCAUGCUGGUCUUGAACUCCUGGACUCAAGUGAUCCACCUGCCCUGGCCUCCCAAAGUGCUGGGAUUACAGGCUAUAUAUUGCUAAAGAAAGAAAAAGCACCAAUGGCUGAAGCUAGAGAGACCUUGCUGAGGAAAAGGGAACCAAAAAUGGGAAAUAGCGGCCUGGUAAAGAGGUGUGGCCAGAGGACAGCAUGGAGCACAGCCAGGAGAAACUGUUCUGGGUGAAGAGCCAGAUCUGCUCUGGAAUGCAGCAAAGAGCUCCUUCCUGCUUUCUCAGCCCCUGCAGCAGCUCCUGCUUCACUCCAAGAAAAUGCCAGCCCCCUAAGAACCUGUCCCUUUGGAACAGUGGAUCCAAAAGCUGACCCAAGAGACCUUGAACUUAACACCUCUGUGUCAUGGGCUCCUUAAUGAUAGAAAGAAGAUUGCUUUAGAAGACUGGUUUGCAAACCAGUCUGCUGGGCACUAGAAGCCUUGGGAAGAUUUGAAAAAUAAAUCUUAUUGGCCUCACCAUUUCACAUUCUGACUUAGAGGGUGUGGGCUCUCUAAUCUGAUUGUGUUUUUUUCUGUUUUUGUUUUUGUUUUUGAGACAGAGUCUUACUCUUUUGCCCAGGCUGGAGUGCAGUGGCGCGAUCUCGGCUCACUGCAACCUCCACCUCCCAGUUUCAAGCGAUUCUCCUGCCUCAGCCUCCCGAGUAGCUGGAAUUACAGGCAUGCACCACCACACCUAACUAAUUUUUGUAUUUUUAGUAGAGACGGGGUUUCACCAUGUUAGCCAGGCUGAUCAUGAACUCCUGACCUCAAGUGAUCCGUCCACCUUGG
rnacentral:lncRNA from 10 species